rnacentral:rRNA from 1 species
GUGGGGAAUCUUAGACAAUGGGGGAAACCCUGAUCUAGCCAUGCCGCGUGAGCGAUGAAGGCCUUAGGGUUGUAAAGCUCUUUCAGCUGGGAAGAUAAUGACGGUACCAGCAGAAGAAGCCCCGGCUAACUCCGUGCCAGCAGCCGCGGUAAUACGGAGGGGGCUAGCGUUGUUCGGAAUUACUGGGCGUAAAGCGCGCGUAGGCGGACCAGAAAGUUGGAGGUGAAAUCCCAGGGCUCAACCUUGGAACUGCCUUUAAAACUCCUGGUCUGGAGUUCGAGAGAGGUGAGUGGAAUUCCGAGUGUAGAGGUGAAAUUCGUAGAUAUUCGGAGGAACACCAGUGGCGAAGGCGGCUCACUGGCUCGAUACUGACGCUGAGGUGCGAAAGCGUGGGGAGCAAACAGGAUUAGAUACCCCAGUAGUCC